ACCAGAAGAAAACUAUAAAUGGCGAAGAAUAGAGGAUGUGCAGAGGGUUGAGAGACAACAGCAAGAGACAUAAAGCAGGCGGAGGCUCUGAGAGGGCUGCUGGACUGAAGAGUGAAGAAAGAAGAUUAAAGAAAAUAAGAGGGAUCCACGGCUGCACUUUGAUGUGAUGGAAACCUUUCCCCCCCCUCCAACAUGUUAACUGAUGGAGGUGGGGGGUUGAUGCUGUGGUGGCUUCUCCUCUUUGAAUCCCGCGCAGCUCCCACUGAUGGCUCUUCAUGGUCCGUUAUGGAUGCUGUGCGCCGCAGCAGCUGAUUGUGGGUUUGAGAGGAGAACACAGGAGGACUAGAAGGUUCCACAAAGAGGCCCGUGUGACGGGCCGGUACUUUGCGGACGGUCCCCGGCGGCAGACAUCACGGCUCACGGAGCCCAGGGGAGGGAUGGAAGGAGAUGGACAGGGAGGGAGACACCGGCUUACGACGUCAAAGGAGUACAGACACACACGCACCGUGAGAGGAGAGAGGACAGCCAGCCAGACUGACAAUUCCCUACGGUCUAGUGAAGGAAGCCUCAAUAUCCAUCCAUCACUCCAGUGUGUGUGCAGCCAAACCAGUAAGAGAUCUGUUUAUUUAGAUUAUUUGAAGAAAGAAAGAAAAAGAAAACGGCGUUAGGGAAGAGCAAAGGGGAGGAAUAGGGGGAAAAAAAACAAGAUCUGGAAAAAAAAAAGCUCGCUCAUGCCGAAUAAAGGACGGUGGCUGGGUGUUAGUUGUGUUUUAGGGGGGGAGCAGGCCUAACUUAUUACAUGAACUGACUAAUUGAGCUCUAAUAACUAAAUAAGCAGCGGAGGGAAGAAGAAGAAGAUCAUCUCCACACAUCACGCCGAUUCUCUGCCACGAACAGCACCACAGACUUCUCAAUGAAGGAGCCUGACGCAAUCAAGCUCUUCAUCGGGCAGAUACCCCGAAACCUGGAGGAGAAGGACCUGAAGCCCAUCUUCGAGCAGUUUGGAAAGAUCUACGAGUUGACCGUGAUAAAGGAUAAAUAUACAGGGAUGCACAAAGGAUGUGCCUUUCUGACGUACUGCGCUCGCGAAUCUGCCCUCAAAGCCCAGAAUGCACUGCACGAGCAGAAGACGCUACCAGGGAUGAACCGCCCGAUCCAGGUGAAGCCAGCAGACAGCGAGAGCAGAGGGGAAGACAGGAAGCUGUUUGUGGGUAUGCUGGGGAAACAGCAGACGGACACCGACGUGAGGAAAAUGUUCGAGCCGUUUGGCAGCAUAGAGGAGUGCACGGUGCUCCGCGGGCCUGACGGGACCAGCAAAGGGUGUGCAUUUGUAAAGUUCCAGAGCAACGCAGAGGCCCAGGCCGCCAUCAACGCUCUGCACGGGAGUCGUACUUUACCUGGCGCCUCGUCCAGCCUGGUGGUGAAGUUUGCCGACUCCGAGAAGGAGCGAGGACUCAGGCGGAUGCAGCAGGUGGCCUCUCAGCUGGGAGUCAUCAGCCCCAUGACCCUGCACCUCGGGGCCUACAACGCCUACACACAGGCCCUGAUGCAGCAGCAGGCCUUGGUGGCGCAGUCGGCCUACCUCUCUCCUGUUGCCACGGUGGCGGCGGUUCAGAUGCAGCAGCUCGCCGCCCUCAACCCCAGCAGCAUCAUUGCCACGCCGAUUGCAUCCAUCACCCCAUCCUCAGGUACCAGCACUCCGCCCUCCAUCGCUGCCACACCUGUUCCUGCUCUGCCUCCACCCAUCGCAGUGAACAGCUACCCCUCUGUUCCAGCUCCACCUAAUGGCCAAUCCACUACAGAGGCCCUGUACACCAACGGGGUUCAUGCCUAUCAAGCUCAGAGUCCCGUCCUGGACCCACUGCAGCAAGCUUAUACAGGCAUGCAGCACUACACAGCCACCUACCCUGCUGCCUACGGCCUGGUGGGACAACCAUUCCCCCACCAACCCACCCUGGUGGCCCAGCAGCCGCAACAGCCGCAGCAGCUGCAGCAGAGAGAAGGUCCGGAGGGCUGCAACAUCUUCAUCUACCACCUGCCGCAGGAGUUCACCGACUCCGAGAUCCUGCAGAUGUUCCUGCCCUUCGGAAACGUCAUCUCCGCGAAGGUCUUCGUCGACCGCGCCACCAACCAGAGCAAAUGCUUUGGUUUUGUGAGUUUCGACAACCCGUCCAGCGCCCAGACUGCCAUCCAGGCCAUGAACGGCUUCCAGAUCGGCAUGAAGAGGCUGAAGGUGCAGCUGAAGAGGCCCAAGGACGCCAACAGGCCUUACUGAAGGAGACUGUCCCGUCCAUACAUAUAACGUGGAGACGUGCGUCGCUAUGGCUACGGUUGCCUAGCAACCGCUAAAACCUUCCCCCUUCCUUCUCACUGCGUUGAAAACCUAAGAGUUCAAUCAAGAAAACCACUUGGGAUGUCCCAGCCUUUUUUGGUUGUUUGACCAACCGUAUAGCACAGGAGCAACACUUCACAAAAAGCAGUAUCACGUGUAUGCGCUUACAGAAUUAAAAAAGAAAGAAAAAAAGAGAAAAGAAACUACAGCAGCAGUAAUGUCAGCAACAAAUACAUCGAACAGAAUCAGCAUUUGCAAUA